UAAGUGAAGAGUUUGAUCCUGGCUCAGAUUGAACGCUGGCGGCAUGCCUAACACAUGCAAGUCGAACGGCAGCACAGCAGAGCUUGCUCUGUGGGUGGCGAGUGGCGGACGGGUGAGUAAUGCAUCGGGACCUACCCAGACGUGGGGGAUAACGUAGGGAAACUUACGCUAAUACCGCAUACGUCCUACGGGAGAAAGCGGGGGACCUUCGGGCCUCGCGCGGUUGGACGGACCGAUGUGCGAUUAGCUAGUUGGUAGGGUAAUGGCCUACCAAGGCGACGAUCGCUAGCUGGUCUGAGAGGAUGAUCAGCCACACUGGGACUGAGACACGGCCCAGACUCCUACGGGAGGCAGCAGUGGGGAAUAUUGGACAAUGGGCGCAAGCCUGAU
rnacentral:rRNA from 1 species